rnacentral:rRNA from 1 species
AUGGCGCGCUUCCUCGUCGCCCUCCUCGCUGCCACCCUGGUCGCGGUUCAGGCUGGAGGGCAGCUGGGCCACGCAGCGCCGGCGACGGCGGAGGUGUUCUGGCGCGCCGUGCUGCCGCACUCGCCAUUGCCCGACGCCGUUCUCCGCCUCCUCAAACAACCUGCAGCAGAAGCCACCAGCUUCGUAAGAGACCCCGAGGACAGGCCCCCCUUCGACUACCGUGAUUACAGCCGCUCGUCGUCCGAUGAUGAACCAAGCAAGCGCACCGGCGCCGCCUCCGGAGCGGGGGGCUUCGACUACGACAACUACAGCGGCGCCGACGAACGCCGUGGCGCCACCGAUGAAUACAAGGCGCCGAGCAGCAGCCCCGCUGGAAGCGGGGCGUCCAUGGCUAGGGGCGGCAAGGCGGAGACGACGACGGUAUUCUUUCACGAGGAGGCGGUGCGCGUCGGCAAGAGGCUCCCAUUCCGCUUCCCCCCGGCGACUCCCGCCGCUCUCGGUUUCCUGCCGCGCCAGGUCGCCGACUCCGUCCCGUUCACGACGGCCGCGCUGCCAGGCGUCCUCGCGACGUUCGGCGUCGCGUCAGACUCCGCCACGGUGGCCAGCAUGGAGGCGACGCUGCGCGCCUGCGAGUCGCCGACCAUCGCCGGCGAGUCCAAGUUCUGCGCGACUUCGCUGGAGGCCCUGGUGGAGCGCGCCAUGGGAGUGCUGGGGACCCGCGACAUCAGGCCGGUGACGUCGACGCUGCCCCGCGCCGGCGCCCCGCUGCAGACGUACGCCGUCCGCUCCGUGCGGCCGGUGGAGGGGGGGCCUGUCUUCGUGGCGUGCCACGACGAGGCCUACCCGUACACCGUGUACCGGUGCCACACCACCGGCCCGUCCAGGGCGUACAUGGUGGACAUGGAGGGCGCUCGCGGCGGCGACGCGGUGACCAUCGCCACCGUGUGCCACACCGACACGUCCCUGUGGAACCCAGAGCACGUGUCCUUCAAGCUCCUUGGCACCAAGCCCGGCGGCACGCCGGUCUGCCACCUCAUGCCGUACGGGCACAUAAUCUGGGCCAAGAACGUGAAGCGCUCGACGGCGUGA